AUCUACGGCCAUACCACCCUGAACACACCCGAUCUCAUCUGAUCUCGGAAGCUAAGCAGCAUUGGGCCUGGUUAGUACUUGGGUGGGAGAUCGCCUGGGAAUACCAGGUGCUGUAGGCA
ensembl:rRNA 5S_rRNA 5S ribosomal RNA